rnacentral:rRNA from 1 species
UACAGAGGGUGCAAGCGUUGUUCGGAAUUAUUGGGCGUAAAGGGAGUGUAGGCGGUCCCUUAAGUCUUCUGUGAAAUCUACGGGCUUAGCCUGUAACGUGCAGAGGAAACUGGUGGACUUGAGUGUCGGAGAGGAUAGGGGAAUACCCGGUGUAGAGGUGAAAUUCGUAGAGAUCGGGUGGAACACCAGUGGCGAAGGCGCCUGUCUGGCUAACAACUGACGCUGAGACUCGAAAGCAUGGGGAGCAAACAGG